CCUCCAGUUUGUUUACCUCAACCUACCUGCCAAACUUUGAUCCUCCAGAUCUAGUUUGAACUUUUCACUCAGCCUUGAUCGGCUUCCCAGGACUUUUCUCUUGAUCUUUGGUCCUCCAGACCUCUUGAUCACAUUGCCAAGCUUCGGGUCCCCUCGGCCUACUUGGAAUUGCACCUGGGUUCCACGAUCUGCUAAGAUUUUUCCUGCCUAGCCUCCAACUAGGUCUUUCCCGGUUGAGUAAACAUCCUGCACACUCAGUCAACUUGUUAGAUCAUAACAAGACUUAACUUGAACCUUUGACAAUAGCAAAACUUAGGUUUGAUUUUGGUGCAACUUGCACCAACACAAAUAUCAUCUUGACCUGACUUGCUCGAAUUGUUGAUAACGUCAUCUCCCGGUCACUUGAAAGUUGCUCCGGUAGUUUGCAUUCUCCGGUUGCCUGUGUAGGAUUGUAAAUACACUAGAGGGGGGAGGUGAGUAGCUUUUUUCGAAAAUCGUGAAUUAAAAUGAAUUAUGCAGCAAAUAAAGAAAACAGAAAAUAACACUAACACAUAGUUUUACUUGGUUCAGAGCCUAUGAUAACUCCUACUCCAAGAGCCGCGAUUGUCGAUCAAUUUCAUUGGGUAAUCACUAUCAGUUCGAAUAAUUAGUUACAAAUAUUGAAGAACUGAAAUUAAUUAUUACCGACAAACAGAAAGGAAAUUGAAAUCACUCAUUCUUCGAACUUCGGAGCAGCCUUUCGGUGUCGUCGGAGCCUUUUCGGAGCAGCACGCAAGAAUGAAACUUGUAGUAGUUGAUGUUAGUCUUCAGGACACCUUCAUCCGCUUCUUCCAAUAUAGGAAGUAAUCUCCAUUGAAGAGCGGGGGACAACGGUGUUGUAUCCUUCAUUUUGGGUCAUUUAAGGAAUCGACAAACAAAGAAGAAUAGAAAAAAAUCCCAAGACUAGGUCUUGGAUUAGCAGUGUGGGAGAUAAUAAAAGUAAUAAAACUCGAUUAGUGUUGCAUCAAUUCAGAGUAUUUUGCAACGAAAAAAAACUUGUCCAAAGAGGUAAUUGCACCAAUUUAAACUAUAUCAAAAGCUUAAAAAUUGGAAAAAAUAUUAAAAGAAAUUUUGAAAAUCACCCAUUGCCUGAUUGAUAGUUACAUCAAUUCAUAGCUGUACCUGCUCUGAUACCACUUGCAGUUGCUUGACUUACCUUUGACCCACCAGGUCAUCCCGCCAAUUUUCAGGUUCUAUGGAUCUAACUGGAUUUCAGGCGAUUGUCAGAUCUCGUGCAUCCAACUGGACUUCCUGCCAGAUAUCGGUCCCCACAGACCUAUCCAGACUUCCCACCAACUAUUGGGUCUCGUGGACCUAACUAGAUUUUAGCCUAGUGUUAGGUCCUUCGGACCCGUCAACUCCUACACACUUGCUAAAGCAAUUAGAUUACAAAACACUCUAACUUUAAUCCCCUUGUCAUUCAUAAAACAUGAGUUAAAUUAUUAGUGCAAAUUUCACCAACAUUCUAGAGCAGUACAAUCACUUGUGUUGGUGCAAGUUGCAUUGAUAAUCAGGUUUUGAUGUAUGAUAAAUAGGUUAAAAAUAAAUGUGUUGUUUGUCUAACCAUUCUACUAAGUGUACAGAAGUUGACUGGUCUGAAGGACCUAACACUACGCUGAAAUCCAGCUAGGUCUGGGAACCUGAUAGCUGGUGCAAAGUCCAGAUAGGUUCAUGGGACCCUAUAUCUGGUGGGAAGUCAGGUUGGGGAUCUACGGGACAUGCCAACCGGCCGAAGUCUAGUUGGGCCCGCGGGACUUAACAACUUGUAGGAAGAUCUAGUGAGUCAAAAAUAAGUCAAGCGACUGUAGUUGGUAAGUGGAGGUAAACAACUGGAGGAGAGAUCUAGUGAGGACACAUUCUGAUUGAUGGAACUAUAGGCAUCGAUCCAACUUAGGUCCAUUUGGGAAACCUAAGUUGAGAUCUUGAUUAGAUCCUGGUCUCAGAGAGACGAAAUCUAAUUACUGCUACUCUUAUCGUAAUUGUACUAACCUUGUUUUGCAGGAUAAAUAUAUUUUUUAUUUUCUCGGACUAAACCUUUUUGUAGGAAAAAGGUGGCUGAAAAAAGGGAGCCCAAGCACCCGGAGCUGUCCCGAGCGCCCGGACCAGAAAAUUUAUCUUGAAGCUGAGUUGGAGCUUGUUGACUGGCAGAUCCCACGUCAACGGUUCAAGCCCUCAGAGGGGGUUUGGGCACCUGGAGGUUGAUAAAACUUUCCGGAUGAAGUUUCGAUAAGAGGUCGUCACGUCAGCAUGGUCCAAGCACCCGGAGCGGUUCCAGGUGCUCGAAAUGAGCCUAUACAAGGGCCUUCGACUAGCAACUUCAGGACAUCAUCUGCUACGACUUUCCUUCCUAAGCGCUCCUUCAAAAAGGCUCUGACGACGCUGUAACGCUCCACUGACAAUCGGACAUCAAGCUUUACUAAAAUUUGUUGGUUGUUGCUGUCCAAGUAAGUUAUAGUAUUGCAAUGGCAUUUGGUGUUUUGUUUGUUACAUGAAGCCUAUUCUAUAGUGACUCAAAAGUAUUUGAGAAAAGAAAAGAGAUAAGAAGUAUAAAAUUUAUGAGAAGUACACUUCCAAACUGCUUGACUAUGAGAAUCUACAUGAACAAAAUUGAGAGGCUGGAUUUCUGAUUGUUGAACGUGGAAGCAUAGAAUCUGAUUUCUGAAAUCAGAUUUUGCUGAUAUAGCUACUGGUUGUGAGGCAAGACUCUUUGGAUUUUCAAAUUCUGAAACACUCAAACUGUAAUUGCCAAAUGGAACUGUAGUCAACACUGAAAUUACAGAUAUUGGUUCCCUUAACUCUUUGAGAUGGAGUUAUUCCUUCAGUGUCAUUUGGUAUCCUUUUCUUUCUAGAUCCUUCCAUGAUCUGAAUGCUGCAAUUCUAGAAAUUGAUUUCUGGACUGAAGUUGAUUCUGGUUCUGAAAUUUUAUUCUGCUUGAUGGCAGUACAAUAUUUGCAAAUCCACAUUAAAUUAUGGAAGAUUAUGGAAGUGUAGAUGGCAAUUCUCUUAAGCUGUUCUGAUUAGAGGGAAGGAUUGAGAAUUUAUCAACACUAUUCAAGACUAGCAACUACCUUGAAUCCAAUUCUUGAAACUGAAGCUUUGAACUGAUUUUCUGAACAUCUAUUUGUUUAGAAUCUGAUUUAUGAAAUUAGUUUCUGAACCCUAUUGUUGAACUGCUGAAAUGCAGUAAAGAACAAAUUUAAAUCUGAGAAGUUGUCAGAUAUGGGCUAAUGUUGAUCAAGGAUGAAUGGAGUUUAAGAACCAAUACCAAGAUGUAAAGCAUAGCCAGUGUGAAUUCUGCAUAUCUGUAAUGUAGAGGUUAAAUGAGAGUGAGCCGAGAUCUGUUUGGUGUAAAUCCUUCAAACUGUUUUCUGAUCAGUAAUGUACUGAAAUCAAGCUCCUAUUAUUUCAGUUCCAAACUGAAAUUGUGAUGCGUUAAGCUGAAAUUAUAGUGGAAUUCUAUUCUGAAAUUGAAGACUAGAGUUACACAUCCAGAAACUGGCUUCAAUUGUUUUGAAACUUGUAAAUAUAGAAUUUUGCCAGAGUUGAGUUCUGAGGUUCUGAAAUAAUGGUUGCUGUUGUUAAUAAAGUUGGGAAGUUUUCAAUCAUUUAAAAGUCCAAGUGAAGAAUUUAAA